GGGCCGCUGGUCUAGUGGUAUGAUUCUCGCUUAGGGUCAAACUCCUGAGUAUUUGUUCUGCGAGAGGUCCCGGGUUCAAUCCCCGGGUGGCCCC